AGCGAACGCUGGCGGCAGGCUUAACACAUGCAAGUCGAACGGGCAUCUUCGGAUGUCAGUGGCAGACGGGUGAGUAACACGUGGGAACGUACCCUUCGGUUCGGAAUAACUCAGGGAAACUUGAGCUAAUACAGGAUACGCCCUUUUGGGAAAGGUUUACUGCCGAAGGAUCGGCCCGCGUCUGAUUAGCUUGUUGGUGGGGUAACGGCCUACCAAGGCGACGAUCAGUAGCUGGUCUGAGAGGAUGAUCAGCCACACUGGGACUGAGACACGGCCCAGACUCCUACGGGAGGCAGCAGUGGGGAAUAUUGGACAAUGGGCGCAAGCCUGAUCCAGCCAUGCCGCGUGAGUGAUGAAGGCCUUAGGGUUGUAAAGCUCUUUUGUCCGGGACGAUAAUGACGGUACCGGAAGAAUAAGCCCCGGCUAACUUCGUG
rnacentral:rRNA from 1 species